AAAAUCCUACAUCGGUGGGACAAAAAGGCAUAUGUAUAGUAUAUAAUAACCUUAACUAAACUACCAUAAUAGCCUGGAUUAACCGUUUUGGGCCAGUGGUUUAGGGCUUGAAAGUUAUUUGAGUCAGUUCAGCUUGGGGGGUUAUAACUGGUAUCCCAGCCACCCUAGGUUAGAAAAUUUUGCAGAGCUAGUGGACUGCGGGCAAAGGGCUACCUGUGGCUAAAGACGAGGUAGAGCUGCUCGAGACACUUGUGAACCACAAUACCAAUCUAGUCCUGGCUUAGCAAUUGUACUAAUACAGCAUAGCAAACUUAGCACAGGUUGCAACAAGGAUGUUACAAAAUUCAGUGGGAGAGAUUGUAACGUCCUAGCACCGCUUGAGAACUUAGGGAUUAGGAAUCUUUUCCUUUUUUGUUUCUUCUUUCUUGUCUUCUUUUUCUCCUCCUUUUUUAGGCUCUUCUUUCUUUGUUUCUUCUUCUUUCUUUGGUUCCUCUUUUGGUCCCACUAACAUCAUUUCUACUGCCCAAAACUUGCGCAAUUUGCUCACUACACUCACCGGAUCAACCGUCCCUAUUAUCAUUAACGUCUUACCUUUCAUAUCUAUCGUAAUUUCAUCUAUCCCUGGAAGAGCAGCCACUAUCUUCAAGGCCUUCCUUUUUUCUCUGUCAUCUCCCAAAUCCAAUUUCAGGAUAAAUUUCUUCAUAUUUUUUUUUGUACAAUAAGAGUGAAUGGAAUAAGAAGAAACAACAAUUAACAA
rnacentral:misc_RNA from 1 species